rnacentral:rRNA from 1 species
GAUGAACGCUGGCGGCGUGCCUAAUACAUGCAAGUCGAGCGAAUGGAUUAAGAGCUUGCUCUUAUGAAGUUAGCGGCGGACGGGUGAGUAACACGUGGGUAACCUGCCCAUAAGACUGGGAUAACUCCGGGAAACCGGGGCUAAUACCGGAUAACAUUUUGAACCGCAUGGUUCGAAAUUGAAAGGCGGCUUCGGCUGUCACUUAUGGAUGGACCCGACUAGCAUUAGCUAGUUGGUGAGGUAACGGCUCACCAAGGCAACGAUGCGUAGCCGACCUGAGAGGGUGAUCGGCCACACUGGGACUGAGACACGGCCCAGACUCCUACGGGAGGCAGCAGUAGGGAAUCUUCCGCAAUGGACGAAAGUCUGACGGAGCAACGCCGCGUGAGUGAUGAAGGCUUUCGGGUCGUAAAACUCUGUUGUUAGGGAAGAACAAGUGCUAGUUGAAUAAGCUGACACCUUGACGGUACCUAACCAGAAAGCCACGGCUAACUACGUGCCAGCAGCCGCCGCCG